UCCUUCAGUCCUCCAUCCUCUCGCGCCCCCUCCCGCACAGCUCCCUCCCUGUUUCCUCCUCAUCACCGUAGUCGCCGCAUUCCUCCCUCUUCCUCCUCCUUGUCACCACAACCGCUGGUCCCCUCGCUCCUCCCCCAUCCUCCCUUCCACUGCCGCACAAACCUUCCGGGUCGGGGCGAGGCAGAAGGUCGUGGCGAAUCUGGCGCCUGCAGGCAUACACAAUAGGAGUUGGUGGAGCGGCGGAUGCAGACGGGGUCGUUGACGGAGCUGCAGGAGCAAGGAGCUCGAGUGCGCCAUGAGGAGUGGAAGGCCGAGUUCGUGCGACGACCAGAGCGACAGGAGCAAGGAGCCUCCUCUAUCUCCCUCUCAGUGGUUGAGGACUUCCUCAAGAAGAAAGAAGAAGGCCAAAUAGAAGAAGAAUUUGGCUCAAAGAGUGCAUAAUGUCCCCUCAGGUUUGAAUUGCUCUGAAGUUAUCAGGGCAUUUCCUUAUAGGGCUUGUUCGCAUUUAUUCAUGGAAGGUGAACUACCUGUUUCAAGAUUGUAACCCACCUAAAAAAUCCCUUCUGCCUUCCUUUUUUUGUUUGUGUAUGUCGCUCUCUAAAGAUUGGUCAGCCUGACCAUGAAAGGGUGCUUCAGUUUAGAAAAGAAUGGUUUUUCUUUGUAUGAUUUUCAGGACAAAGGAGGCUGUGGAGGAACUCAUAAAUGCCGUGCUAAAUUAUUAAUUAGCCGUAUUCUUGAUUUUUCAUUUUUUAAAGAUAAUUGAGCACCAAGUCAUGUAGAGUUACUACCGUAUUAGUAUAUUUCUAACUGCAUGAUCGAAACUGUACAUUCAGAAAGUAUAGGCUGUUAUAUCAUUACUUUGUAAAUAAAUCACAUGUUAACUUCUUCUUUUUUUUUGCGGGAAAAUCACAUGUUAACUUGCUGGUUCAGUUUAAAGCUGCAGGCAGAGGCUUGCGGUAGGGAAAAAAAUAAUUUUGCCAGUUGAAAACCAAAGCGUUUAUUUGUGACUGUAUAAUCUGGACUACACUUUUAUGAAAGUAUGUUAGGCUCCUGCACUUGGGAGAUUAAGAGUUGUUGUGGUUUUUCUUGGUCCAGUGCCCCGAAGGGAGCUCACGUGCUAUGGUUAGUUCACGUGCUAAAAAACCAAUCUUUGAGAAAAUAGCAUGCUCAUUUUAGUUAUAUUGAUUAAUAGCAUCUCUAUGUUAUUAGAUACUCCCUCCGUUCUUUUUCAACUACUUAGAUCAUAUUUGAUUCCAAUGCUUGCUUUCAUAUCAUUGGUUUGUCCAAAGUUUAUGUUCAGAGAUUAUGCAUCAAAGAUAUGUUGGAUAUCCUACAAAAGAGUGAGAUGAUCGCUCAAUUCUAGCUUAUCUGCUUUACCUAAUAUAUAAAUUUUUUAUUUUUCUUUAUUUAGAUCACCUGAGUUUUAGGCAGUGAGUACUAGAAAGCAUUAUCACAUUUCAGUGCAUUUUCGUACUUUGCGAAGCAUUUCAGUUUUAUGGAUACGGGCAUUCAGUUGAGAACUGAGAACAAUUUUGUUUGACUUUUUCAGAUGAUAAUUUUUACCGGUUAUAGUUACAAUUACUAGAAGUAGCAAAGGUCUGGGUUAAUUUAGAGCUUGAGUUGGCAGCUAUGCUUUUUUGCGUUCUAGAUUAUGCAAAGAGAUUGCCAUGUUUUCUUUUAUUUCGGUUUAGUUCAUUCCCUUAUAUAUCCAGUUGUUUUCCGCAGAACAAAUAUAAAUGUUCAUGUUGUAAUGGAUGGAUAUGUUGAUGGCAUCGUCAUGUCAUGUAAAUUACAUGCAGAACAAAUCUAUAUUUUUGUUGGGACUAAAAGUGAAAACGAUAUUUGGGACCAAAACUUUUCAAAUAGCUCUGAAUAUGAAUUGGGACCCUGUGUUGUUUGGGGUGGAGCUGCAGGGAGUGAGAGGCGGAUAACAAUAGGGCGAAGAAGCAUGCCAUCGAGGAGUGCAAGCAGCGGCGCUCCUUCGCAAUGGGGUGUGGCUGCGGGGGAGGGAAGGCGGCCAACGACGGGGAGAAUGAGCAGGUCGUCGAGGAGUGCAAGCAGCAGGGUAAGAUGUGUAUUUUUUCAGACGAUCUUGAUUGUUUUGCAACAUGUAUUGCAUUUCCAUGGAUAAUCAUUUUUCUUAUUUAUUAUUUCCCAUGUUUGCUGAAGAUUAAUUUAGGCCCAUACAGUUUCUGUUGACUGGAAGUCUGAAACUGAAGAUAGGGCAUAUUGUUUUGGUUCCGAGUGGUUGGGGAUAUUGUGGAUUGAUGUCCCUAGAGCAGCUAGACCCUUCCAAGAGCAGCCUGAUUUCUUCUGCAACUCUUCCACCACAGUACAUGAAAAGGAAUAUGUUCUACCUAUCAGCACCAUUUCUUGAGGAGAAUUGUCCCUUUAUUUUGUCACACUUUGGUGUCCUUGAGUUCAGAAUAGAUUCACCUUUACUCUGAUUUUCUUUAUAUAUUCCCAGGUGCUAAAAUCCUAGGUAUCAAGGGCAUUGUGGUGGCGCGAUCAAUGUCUAUUGUGAUCGCUCGGCAUGGCGUCCAUAGCCCAUUGUGCUGCAUUCUUUGUUUUACGGAAAAUAUGUUCUUGCUUGAGGGUGAAUAUGUUCAUGAUUCAUAAUCAUUGUAUCUGAUUCAUAAGAAACAGUGAGAUGCUUUGUUAUGAGUUACGGUAUAGGCUUUGUAAAUUGUGCAUGCAAUUUGUUGAUGGUUAGGCUUCGAGCUCCAUUUCAAUAACUUUAGAGCUUUUUUUUA